rnacentral:misc_RNA from 1 species
GAAAAUUUUACCAUCCUAGCAAUGCAAGAAUAUGGUUUUAUGGAGACGAUGACCCAAAUGAACGUCUGCGGAUCUUAAGUGAGUAUUUGAACAUGUUUGAUGCUAGUUCAGCUCCACACGAAUCAAGAGUUGAACCACAAAGACUAUUCUCGGAGCCGGUCAGGAUUGUAGAAAAAUAUCCCGUUGGGGAAGAUGGGGACCUGAAAAAGAAGCACAUGGUGUGCGUUAAUUGGCUGCUAUCUGACAAGCCACUGGAUUUGGAAACUGAGCUUGCCCUAGGAUUUCUGGAUCAUCUGCUUUUGGGAACUCCAGCUUCUCCCUUGAGGAAGAUCUUGCUAGAAAGUGGUUUAGGAGAUGCUAUUGUUGGUGGAGGGAUUGAGGAUGAGCUCCUUCAGCCUCAGUUUAGCAUUGGGUUGAAGGGUGUCUCAGAAGAGAACAUUCAAAAGGUUGAAGAAUUGAUUAUGAGCACCCUACAAGGCUUAGCUGAGAAAGGUUUUGAUUCGGAUGCCGUGGAGGCAUCAAUGAACACAAUUGAAUUUUCUCUUAGAGAAAAUAACACUGGCUCAUUCCCACGUGGUUUAGCAUUGAUGCUCCGCUCCAUUGGGAAAUGGGUUUAUGACAUGGAUCCAUUUGAACCACUGAAGUAUCAGAAGCCUUUGGAGGCCCUGAAAGCCAGAAUAGCUAAGGAAGGCUCCAAAGCUGUUUUUGCUCCUUUAAUGGACCAAUACAUUUUGAGGAAUCCACACCGUGUAACGGUUGAGAUGCAGCCUGACCCAGAGAAGGCAUCUCGUGAAGAACAAAUAGAAAAGGAAACACUGGAUAAAGUUAAAGCAAGCAUGACCCAAGAGGAUCUUGCUGAACUGGCUCGAGCAACACAUGAGCUACGGUUAAAGCAAGAAACUCCUGACCCACCAGAAGCUCUAAAGAGUGUUCCCAGCCUCUCUCUACAAGAUAUUCCUCGAGAACCUGUCCUAGUUCCAACUGAGAUUGGAGACAUCAAUGGGGUAAAAGUUUUGAAGCACGACCUCUUCACAAACGAUGUUCUUUAUGCUGAAGUUGUCUUCAACUUGAGCUCAUUGAAGCAAGAGCUGCUACCAUUAGUCCCACUU